CCUACGUGAGGCAGCAGUGGGGGAUAUUGCACAAUGGGGGAAACCCUGAUGCAGCAACGCCGCGUGUGGGAAGAAGGUUUUCGGAUUGUAAACCACUGUUCUUGGUGAAGAUAAUGACGGUAACCAAGGAGAAAGCUCCGGCUAACUACGUGCCAGCAGCCGCGGUAAUACGUAGGGUGCGAGCAUUAAUCGGAAUUACUGGGCGUAAAGCGCUCGUAGGCGGAAUGUCAAGUCAAGGGUGAAAUCCCCGCGCUCAACGUGUGAACUGCCUUUGAAACUGGCAAACUGGAGUGUGUGAGAGGAUAGUGGAAUUCCAGGUGUAGGAGUGAAAUCCGUAGAUAUCUGGAGGAACAUCAGUGGCGAAGGCGACUAUCUGGCACAUAACUGACGCUGAGGAGCGAAAGCGUGGGUAGCAAACAGGAUUAGAUACCCCUGUAGUC
rnacentral:rRNA from 1 species